rnacentral:rRNA from 1 species
AACGAACGCUGGCGGCAGGCUUAACACAUGCAAGUCGAGCGCCUCGCAAGAGGAGCGGCAGACGGGUGAGUAACGCGUGGGAACGUACCCUUAUCUUCGGAAUAGCUCUGGGAUACUGGCAGUAAUACCGAAAGUGCCCUUACGGGGAAAGAUUUAUCGGAUAAGGAUCGGAUCGCGUUGGAUUAGCUAGUUGGUGGGGUAAAGGCCUACCAAGGCGACGAUCCAUAGCUGGUCUGAGAGGAUGAUCAGCCACAUUGGGACUGAGACACGGCCCAAACUCCUACGGGAGGCAGCAGUGGGGAAUACUGGACAAUGGGCGCAAGACUGACCCAGCCAUGUCGCGUGAGUGAUGAAGGCCUUAGGGUUGUAAAGCUCUUUCACCGGAGAAAAUAAUGACGGUAUCCGGAGAAGAAGCCCCGGCUAACUUCGUG